rnacentral:rRNA from 1 species
GACGAACGCUGGCGGCGUGCUUAACACAUGCAAGUCGAACGGAAAGGCCCUGCUUUUGUGGGGUGCUCGAGUGGCGAACGGGUGAGUAACACGUGAGUAACCUGCCCUUGACUGUGGGAUAACUUCAGGAAACUGGGGCUAAUACCGGAUAGGAGCUCCUGCUGCAUGGUGGGGGUUGGAAAGUUUCGGCGGUUGGGGAUGGACUCGCGGCUUAUCAGCUUGUUGGUGGGGUAGUGGCUUACCAAGGCUUUGACGGGUAGCCGGCCUGAGAGGUUGACCGGCCACAUUGGGACUGCGAUACGGCCCAGAAUCCUACGGGAGGCAGUAGUGGGGAAUAUUGCACAAUGGGGGGAAGCCUGAUGCAGAAACGCCGCGUGCGGGAUGACGGCCUUCGGGUUGUAAACCGCUUUCGCCUGUGACGAAGCGUGAGUGACGGUAAUGGGUAAAGAAGCACCGGCUAACUACGUG